AUACGUAGGUGACAAGCGUUAUCCGGAUUUACUGGGUGUAAAGGGCGUGUAGGCGGUUUAGCAAGUCAGAAGUGAAAUUCCCGGGCUUAACUUGGGCGCUGCUUCUGAAACUGUUUUACUUGAGUGCUGGAGAGGAUAGUGGAAUUCCUAGUGUAGCGGUAAAAUGCGCAGAUAUUAGGAGGAACACCGGUGGCGAAGGCGGCUAUCUGGACAGUAACUGACGCUGAGGCGCGAAAGCACGGGGAGCAAACAGGAUUAGAUACCCUGGUAGUCCGUGCCGUAAACGAUGAAUACUAGGUGUAGGGGGUAUCGACUCCCUCUGUGCCGCAGUUAACACAUUAAGUAUUCCACCUGGGGAGUACGGCCGCAAGGUUGAAACUCAAAGGAAUUGACGGGG
rnacentral:rRNA from 1 species